rnacentral:lncRNA from 1 species
GCCUUGCAUAACUUCCAUCUGUAUUGAGACAGGAUACACUUUUGCCUGGAGAGUAACACCCACAUGCCCCACCCCAGGUGAAGAUUCCAGCGUGUCUGAAACUGUGAAUGUAGAAAGACAGUUCCACACAUCGGGUUUAUAAGCUGUAUGUGCUACACAAAGAGGAGAAGAGGAAAUAUUAUCAGUUGUAUUCACCAAUGCAUAAUCACUCUUGGAAAAGAUCCUGUUUCAGUGUGAGACAGAAGGGUCUCCAAGGCAGUCUCCAGUCUCAAUACUGAGAUCAUGUAUGAAGUUUCCAGCUGCCACAUGAGGAGGAGGUGAGUUGCUGCAAGCUGCAGUUGAGCCUGGCAGAGAUUUUCCAUCAGGACCUUUUUGUCAAUGUGGGAUUUGAAUCUUCUCCUGGGAUGGCAGCCAGAAGUCAUCUGUAUUCAUCAGCACUCAACAUUUGCUGGGGCAGACCUCUAAGAUAAGUGUUGUCUUCAGCUUUUGUCCUGUGUGCACUGUUCCCCUGCAUAUUCUCCCUGUGCUGUUGUUUUUCUUUAAUGGCACUUAGACUUGCAGGCUUUCGACUGACAGCUGGUAGAACUGGUUGAAUUGUUUGUUUGAAAUACU